CAGGCCGCAGCCCGGACCAGCCCCGCGUCCCCAGCCGCCGCCGCGGCGGUCCUGGCCCGGCCCUUCUCUUCUCCAGCCCGCGUUCCAGUGUUUGGAGCAUGUAUCGUGUGCUAGCCAUUGUUGUAAAUGAUGGGAAACAGCAGUAAACUAGAGGAGCAGAAAUCCUUGUGGUCAUGGAGUCAGACAAUAGACAAGGUGAUUCAUCCAGCAGGUGUAUUUUCAUCAUUGAACCAAGACGUGAGUAAUUGGAAGGGAGGAAACCUAAGAAGGAACACCAGUUCUUCUGCGUCGACCUAUACGUCAGGAACUAGGAGGUGCUUUUGUUUUUUCUGUUGACGUCUAAAAAGAAAUAUUCUUACGUCUCCAAGAGAAAGAGCAAGAAAACAGAGGGAUGACACACUCCUGAUCAAGGGCCUGUCGUCAAUGCCCCAUUUACCCAACGUGUCACCCGCUUGAGCCCUAACCC